AUUGAACGCUGGCGGCAUGCUUUACACAUGCAAGUCGAACGGUAACAGGUCUUCGGAUGCUGACGAGUGGCGAACGGGUGAGUAAUACAUCGGAACGUGCCUAGUAGUGGGGGAUAACUACUCGAAAGAGUAGCUAAUACCGCAUGAGAUCUACGGAUGAAAGCAGGGGACCUUCGGGCCUUGUGCUACUAGAGCGGCUGAUGGCAGAUUAGGUAGUUGGUGGGGUAAAGGCUUACCAAGCCUGCGAUCUGUAGCUGGUCUGAGAGGACGACCAGCCACACUGGGACUGAGACACGGCCCAGACUCCUACGGGAGGCAGCAGUGGGGAAUUUUGGACAAUGGGCGAAAGCCUGAUCCAGCAAUGCCGCGUGCAGGAUGAAGGCCCUCGGGUUGUAAACUGCUUUUGUACGGAACGAAAAGCCUGGGGCUAAUAUCCCCGGGUCAUGACGGUACCGUAAGAAUAAGCACCGGCUAACUACGUGCCAGCAGCCGCGGUAAUACGUAGGGUGCAAGCGUUAAUCGGAAUUACUGGGCGUAAAGCGUGCGCAGGCGGUUUUGUAAGACAGUGGUGAAAUCCCCGGGCUCAACCUGGGAACUGCCAUUGUGACUGCAAGGCUAGAGUGCGGCAGAGGGGGAUGGAAUUCCGCGUGUAGCAGUGAAAUGCGUAGAUAUGCGGAGGAACACCGAUGGCGAAGGCAAUCCCCUGGGCCUGCACUGACGCUCAUGCACGAAAGCGUGGGGAGCAAACA
rnacentral:rRNA from 1 species